GGCGCAUGGAAGGGUUACUUCGACUUGUAAUCGGCUUGUCGUUGGUUCGAAUCCAACUCCCGCCG
rnacentral:tRNA from 1 species